GUUUUCUGCUCCGCUGGUGAAUGCACUUCUUAAUGGCAUCCGGAACAGGUUCAAUCAUCUGCAGGAUGACCAGGACUGCUACUAGCGUCCAUUGUGCUCCCCCAAUUCAAAGUGGGAUGGGUCCAUGGCGAUCCCAGGCGGCAGGAGUUAACGCAACUGCUCAAGGACAAGAGGACCGCACCUACCCUCACCCAGAUAAAAUCACCAGCUGAUCCGAAGACAUACGCCUUUGGCCUUCGGUCGCAUUGCCAGAUGUAAUUUACUACCUGGUGAACACAAAGGCAUGCGACCUCCAAGACGUGAAGCCCCAUCGAAGCUUAGAGUCCUACAACUACCUGCAAAGUGG